rnacentral:antisense_RNA from 1 species
CUUGACCGAGCCGAGCAUCAGGGGGCGGCCCUCGGGGCGGCUCUUGCCGUACGCGGCGAGCAGCGCCUGCGCCUC